rnacentral:rRNA from 1 species
CCUACGGGUGGCAGCAGUGGGGAAUAUUGCACAAUGGGGGGAACCCUGAUGCAGCGACGCCGCGUGAGUGAAGAAGUAUUUCGGUAUGUAAAGCUCUAUCAGCAGGGAAGAAAAUGACGGUACCUGAGUAAGAAGCCCCGGCUAACUACGUGCCAGCAGCCGCGGUAAUACGUAGGGGGCAAGCGUUAUCCGGAUUUACUGGGUGUAAAGGGAGCGUAGACGGCAGUGCAAGUCUGGAGUGAAAGGGGGGGGCUCAACCCCCGGACUGCACUGGAAACUGUACGGCUGGAGUGCAGGAGAGGUAAGUGGAAUUCCUAGUGUAGCGGUGAAAUGCGUAGAUAUUAGGAGGAACACCAGUGGCGAAGGCGGCUUACUGGACUGUAACUGACGUUGAGGCUCGAAAGCGUGGGGAGCAAACAGGAUUAGAUACCCUUGUAGUC